UAAUGUUUAUUUUAAAUAAAUUCACAAGUGGAUAUUAAUGGUAAAGGUUUUACAUAAUUAAAUGUUUGUUUUCAACAUGGAAAAUAUUUUAUUGUAAAGUAAAUGUAAAAUGGCAGUGACUUUUGACAGCCAUGUCAAAUUUUAGUUUUGGUACACUGCUAAAAAUAAAUAAGGUUAAAAAUUGUAAAACCAUAUAUUUGUUUUUAUUAUUCAUUUCUUUUUUGAGAAUAUGUUUAUUCUCGGAGUAAGUUUUAAAUAAACAUUAUAAAAUGUACACAUCUUUAUUUCUGUAACCUCUUUUUUAAAAAAAUUAUUAACAGAUAUCUAAUACAAGUGAAUAAGUUUUAGAACAGAAGAAAAUAUAAUGGCAUAGAAGCCAAUAAUGAUAAAUAAGUAGCCCACUAUAACCCCAACGAGGAAUCUACGAUGAAUGUCCCCCAGUUGCUUUCCAGUAAGUACUCGAUAUGAGAAUUUGAGGAUUUUUCGAACGGCGUCCCAAUUUGUUUAAAUAGUAGGAAAGUCCUCAAGUCUGUGUAAGUAUCCUUUGCUUAUUUGGUUAUGUAGUUAGUCUUCUUUAAACCCUCCUACCCCUCCCAACGAAUCUACGACCCGCCACCGCACAAAAAAAAUGAGCUGCCGUUCGCAUGAAGGUUUGCGUGUCUGUUCCUUCUACUAGCCCCAUUUCUACCCCACAGUAUCUCUAUAGAUAGUCUUUCCUUGUCCCCAUAGAGCAGACAUGUAAAACGCUUCAAAUUGCGCCCAACGUGUGGGGCUUAAAAACGCUUCAAAUGUCGCCCAACGUGUGGGGCCGAUUCAUUUUUCUGCCUCCUUCAGUAUCCAGUUUUGUAAUGAUUUGGAUUUGAAUAUCUUCCCCUCCCAGCCCCGUCUGAAUGGAAAAUUUUGAAGUUCCAAGUGUUGUGACAUGGAUUUUUGUUUUAAGUAAGAAAUGCCCGGAUGAUAUUAUUUGGUAUCGAUUUUAUCCAGUUUAGUAAUGAUUUGAAUAUCUUCCCUCCCUCCAAUCUCGAAUGGAAAGUUUUGAAGUUCCAAGUGUUGUGACAUGGAUUUUUGUUUUAAGGUAUGAUAAUGUUUAUUUUAAAUAAAUUCACAAGUGGAUAUUAAUGGUAAAGGUUUUACAUAAUUAAAUGUUUGUUUUCAACAUGGAAAAUAUUUUAUUGUAAAGUAAAUGUAAAAUGGCAGUGACUUUUGACAGCCAUGUCAAAUUUUAGUUUUGGUACACUGCUAAAAAUAAAUAAGGUUAAAAAUUGUAAAACCAUAUAUUUGUUUUUAUUAUUCAUUUCUUUUUUGAGAAUAUGUUUAUUCUCGGAGUAAGUUUUAAAUAAACAUUAUAAAAUGUACACAUCUUUAUUUCUGUAACCUCUUUUUUAAAAAAAUUAUUAACAGAUAUCUAAUACAAGUGAAUAAGUUUUAGAACAGAAGAAAAUAUAAUGGCAUAGAAGCCAAUAAUGAUAAAUAAGUAGCCCACUAUAACCCCAACGAGGAAUCUACGAUGAAUGUCCCCCAGUUGCUUUCCAGUAAGUACUCGAUAUGAGAAUUUGAGGAUUUUUCGAACGGCGUCCCAAUUUGUUUAAAUAGUAGGAAAGUCCUCAAGUCUGUGUAAGUAUCCUUUGCUUAUUUGGUUAUGUAGUUAGUCUUCUUUAAACCCUCCUACCCCUCCCAACGAAUCUACGACCCGCCACCGCACAAAAAAAAUGAGCUGCCGUUCGCAUGAAGGUUUGCGUGUCUGUUCCUUCUACUAGCCCCAUUUCUACCCCACAGUAUCUCUAUAGAUAGUCUUUCCUUGUCCCCAUAGAGCAGACAUGUAAAACGCUUCAAAGGUUGGAAUAAAUUCAUUUUAUGAUAAUGGGCGAUUUUGGAAAAAAUUCCCAAACAGGUCGAUUUUCAUUUUUAAAUUAUGAUUUUUUGGCAUAUAUAUCAUGCUACUGACGUCAUCCACCUGGGCGUGAUGCCGUCAUUGAUAAUUUUUUUAAUAAGAAUAGUGGUCGUAUUCUAUAGUUGAUUUUUUAACCAAGAGGAGUAAACUAAAAUGACGGAUUCACACCCAAGAACGUUAACGUUACUAGAAAUGUCACCAAAUUCAUCUUCUUUUUUCGUUGAUCAUUUCAGCUUUCGAUGAUAAUCCAUAUACAGUCGAACCCGCUUUUUGGAAUAGCCUUCGUGCCAAGCAAAAGUAUUCGUAUAACCGGGAUAUUCUAAUAACCGAUCAUUGGAAGCUAGUAGAAACGUUUCGUGGCCUCAAAUUUCUAUUCCUUAAAGCGGGAUAUUCCUAUAAGAGGUAUUCUAAUAAGCGGGUUUGACUGUUUUUAUGUAAAAGUAGACUAAAAAUCUAAUAUAAAGAAAUAAUGCAGAAAACACAAAAAAUCGUCGAUAUACUUAAGAGGGAACAGUAGCGAUCAACAGGUAGCAAAAACGCGUUCCAAGAUUGCGGCUGUAAUUUUGAAUAUUUUUUCGAGAUAUUUGGCACACGUAUUCGUAAUAUAAUAAAGAAUGGCGGUACAGAGCCCAAUUUUAAAAAUAUAUUAAUAUGUGGAAAUUCCCUCACAACACACAACAUUCCAGGAAUGUACUACCAAAGUUCUAUCAAUAUUUGAAUGUCCUGGACAUUUAGGGAACAUUCGGUGAACAUCUGUUUAAAUUAUUCCUGGAAUGUUACCAUAAGACAUUCUGUGAACAUACUACCAAUGUUCCUAUAUUUUAAGUUGCGAAAUAAUACAUACGUGUAACAGAUACAACAUUACUUAUAACAUACCAGACAAACUAAGUGACACUUUAGGCCUACAGUGCAAUAAUAUGUCAAAUUUAAAGAGUUUCCCAAGUUCAAUUAAUACAAUAUUAUAAACAUACAAAUGUAAUAAAAAUUAUUGUUCGCGAAUAUUCAAUUUGGAAUGCGAUUUUGUUAAUAAAAAAAAUACUUAUAACUUAUGCAAAACCCAAGAGAGGCAUUUAUAUUUAUUUCUUUUGCGUUCAUUUUCAAAUUCGCCGUGCAUAUAUUUUUGUGCAUGGCGCUUGAGAGGGCAUCACGUGACUAAAAACGACCAACCAACGACCUCGCUUCGGCCAUCUUGGCAUCUUCAUCUUGGCCACCUUGCUUUGCCGUGGGUGGAUCGUUGUUUCUAUUAUUUGUGCUUUUUAAGAAUAUUUUUUUAAUUCGGAUACUUUUAUAAUAGCUUUAAUAGUAUUAUUAACAUAGUGAAAAAAAUGUUGUCCUGUUUUUAACGCAGUUGGAGUAGCAGAAACAAAUGUAGAUAAAAAAAUCUGCAGGAAUAACGUUUCAAUUAUGACAGAAGCUCCAAACAAAUGACUGUGAAUGAAAAGCCCUAUUAAAAGCUUUCCAGAAGAUCCUGCGAAGAAGACAUGAAGUAUAGAUCAGAUUUGUUAAUAGAGGAGUAUGUUCAAAACACUUUUUAGAAAAAGAUAUUGACAGAACUUCACUUUCAUCUGUUCGUUUAAGAGACUGUGCUGUUCCAAUAGCUUAUGUCACACAGAAUCAGCUGAGAGAAGUGGUCUACAAAAAACCAGAAAGGAAACAGAAUAUGUGGCUACGAAAAGCAAAAGAAAGGUUUACAAAGCAAAUGUGACACAUUUUUUUAUAAUAUUUAGGAAUGUCAGUAAAUUACAUUAAAAAAUGUAUGUAAAGAUUUUUUGCAAUAAAAAUGUUUAUAUUUA